GUCAGCAGACCACCUUGGAGGGGAUGCUAGGAGCUGCCGAAUGUGUGAUUCAAAGAUUAAUUCCAUGUGUUUGGAGAAGAAGCCCUAUCCUCAACACAAAGGUUGGCCACAUUCCAGCCAAGGUAGCACGGAGUGAAGGCCCGCGGAGGGAGUGCUGGGCUUUCCUGAACUACUUCAGUACACCUUGCUGUGCCUCGGCCUGCUGUGUUUCAUCCCCAUGGCUGUCCUCAGUGAUGUGCAUGGUCACUGCUCCCUUCACCGCUGAGAAGACGGGCACAGGACAGUCAGGGGACGUGUCCAGGGUCCCACAGCAGGAAGGGCUGGAGCCAGAAUGUGGUCUGAGAGGCUGGAUAUACAAAGAGACAAUGGCGUGACCAUCUGUACAAAUGGAACUAUGGCCCACAACCUGAAGCAGCCAGCCCAGGAAGCCAACCCAUUACCUGCAGCAGCCAGGCUGGACGCUGGCCUGCCCUCGGGUGCCCUUGUUGGAGAACAUGGGAGGCCAAAAUCCAAACAUGGCAAGAGAUAACAAAUGACUUGUCUGGUGGCUGAACCCUGAGCUGGGAGCACUGCCUGGAGAAAACUCUGAUAGUCAAGUCUAGUUCUACGUGGCUCCAAACACCUCCACCAUGAGCUCAAGGCAGUGACUGACUGAAAAACCCUAUUAUAGACCACAACAUUGAACCCAACAUCCCCCUAAGUAAAUUGUACUCACAUCAUUGGUCUUAUGGGGAAAUUUUAAGACCUCCCACUUGCAAGGUUUUAUAACCCUCUAUGGAAUUUUGAAGAAAGAGUAAAAUGCAUCCAAAAAAAAAAAAAACUAAACUGGAUAAAUUCUAAGGCCUCUUCAGGUCUUAAGAUGGCCAUUUUCUAGGUCCUCUUGUUGCAGCAGUGAAAUCCACAAACAUGGACAAGUCAGUCAAUUACGUACCUUUCAGAGAAAACUUCUGACUUAGGAAUUCCAGCUAUUUCGCCCAACCCAUAUUAGACUGUGUUAUAAAGACAUGGUAAAUUACAUCACGAAGGGAAGAGCAGAGGAAACAUAAUAUUCCUUCAAGACCCAUCAGCUCAGAUGUUAGCAGAACACUCCUAAGGAGGAAAACAAGAAAUUUUGGGUUUGAACUUGGUACUUCCCAGCAGCCCUGGGAGUGGGGUCAGAAGCCCUGCUGGUGGGGGCGAAGAACUCUGAGGAUCAAAGAUGUUGAUCAUCACCAGGAAGCUCACUGCAGCAAUAAUCAUGAUGCACUGAGCCUGACAAGCAAAAGAAAACUUCUUUAGGAGGAUAAAAGGGAGAUGAAGAAACAGAAAACACAUCAGCUCUCCAUCUAAAUUACAGAAAGCAGAAAAUAUCCUGAAUUGAAUAACACAGGAAUCACUCUUUUU
rnacentral:lncRNA from 1 species